rnacentral:lncRNA from 1 species
AUGAAGCAGGUGGCCCUGCGGGGGAGUCCACAAGGCAAGGAGAGGAGACGCCACCGGCUGACGGGGACCCUUAGGCCCGCAGCUGCAGGAACCUCGUGGGCUGAGGCCCAUCUUGCCCCAGACCCGCAGAGGGUCCCCCCAGAAGCCAGGAGACGAGUGUGCGGCCUUAUCCAGCUAGGGUUGUGGUUGUGUGGCUCCACAGGAACAGACAAGGAGAAAUGGCUCCUGGGAGACAAGGAGGGAAUGUUCCUGGGAGCAGCAGGGCCGCGAAAGGCCUGCGAGCCCACGUGCAGUGCUGCUCACGCGGCCUGGGGCUGGCUAACCGCGCUCCACACUCGCCCCUCUGGGGCCCUGCGUGCCAGGCUGACCUCUGAGGCCAGGCUCAAGCAGCAGCUCCCUCAGCCCGUCCACCUGGCCUGCGUGCCAGCCCCAGGGCUGCUCUGGGGGCAGGGGCGGGGAGGGGGGCAGCCUGUGGUGGCCGGGCCCCCCCGGCCCUCAUCCUGGCCCCCUCGCCCUCCUCGGGGGAACAGGCCAACCAGACCUUUAAAAGCCUGGGGCACACGGACCGACCAGGGUGGUGGGAGAGCCAAGCUCCCCAAACCCACUUCCCCAUCUCCCCGCCCCAACACUGGCAGUUUCCCAGCACCCCAUGGGACUCCACCCGGCACUAUCACCUGCCCAGGGCGGGCUCCCAGCUGCUUGGUUGUAAAACAACCUGACAUGCAGGGAACGGGGUCAAGGGGGCUGUCUGGGCGCAGGGCGGGACCCCAGGAGUCCUGGCCAGAACUGCUGACCGAGGACAGCGAAAUGCUACCAGACAGGAAACGCCUCCCCCACCCCCCCAUGUCAGCCUUGGGAGGGCACAGACAUCCAGGGCGGGUCCCUGCAUUUGCGCACGGGAGAGGCCCUUUUGUUUCUGGGACUCCUCUCUCUGCUCCACAGGCACUGGGCGCUGGCUGGUUUGGUAAAAUACAGUCCCCCUCCGGGGGUUGUAGCUCUUGA